GGGCCAGUGGCGCAACGAAUAACGCACCUGACUACGGAUCAGGAGUCUCCUGGUUUGAUUCCUGGCUGGCGCG